GCAAAAGCUCAAAUUUGAAAUCUGGCGUCCUUUGGGCGUCCGAGUUGUAAUUUGGAGGAGCGUCUUCGGGAGCGGCACCGUCUUAAGUUCCGUGGAACCGGACGUCACAGAGGGUGAGAAUCCCGUGCCUGGGCGGUCUGUCCGUUCCCAUGUGAAGUGCUUCCGACGAGUCGAGUUGUUUGGGAAUGCAGCUCAAAAUGGGUGGUAAAUUUCAUCUAAAGCUAAAUAUUGGCGAGAGACCGAUAGCGCACAAGUAGAGUGAUCGAAAGAUGAAAAGCACUUUGAAAAGAGAGUUAAAAAGUACGUGAAAUUGUUGAAAGGGAAGCGCUUGAGAUCAAACUCGGCCUUUGGUGAAGCUCUGAGUUCGCUCUGAGCCGCUUGCCUUUGGCCGGGCCAGCAUCGGUUUCGGCGGUGGGAGAAACGGUGGAGGAAUGUAGCUCCCUUCGGGGAGUGUUAUAGCCUCUGUCAAAUAUCGCCAGUCGGGACCGAGGACCGCGCUUCAGAGCUAGGAUGCUGGCGGAAUGGUCUUAAGCGACCCGU
rnacentral:rRNA from 1 species